AUCCAGCUGACAAAUCCCGAAUAGGACGAAACGUGCAUCCUGGAU
rfam:Schistosoma mansoni, Puerto Rico, WGS project CABG01000000 data, contig: 0094